rnacentral:rRNA from 1 species
UACAGAGGUGGCAAGCGUUGUUCGGAAUUACUGGGCGUAAAGGGCGCGUAGGCGGUUCGCCAAGUCCCGUGUGAAAUCCCUCGGCUCAACCGAGGAACUGCGCGGGAAACUAGUGAGCUUGAGUUCGGGAGAGGGAAGCGGAAUUCCGGGUGUAGCGGUGAAAUGCGCAGAUAUCCGGAGGAACACCGGUGGCGAAGGCGGCUUCCUGGACCGACACUGACGCUGAGGCGCGAAAGCUAGGGGAGCAAAC